AAUCAACGCUGGCGGCGUGCCUCAGACAUGCAAGUCGAACGAUUAAAGCUCUCUUCGGAGAGUGCAUAGAGUGGCGCACGGGUGAGUAACACGUAAGUAAUCUACCUUCGAGUGGGGAAUAACGUCCGGAACGGACGCUAAUACCGCAUAAUGCAGCGGCAUCGCAAGAUGACAGUUGUUAAAGGAGCAAUUCGCUUGAAGAGGAGCUUGCGGCAGAUUAGCUAGUUGGUAAGGUAAUGGCUUACCAAGGCUACGAUCUGUAACCGGUCUAAGAGGACGGUCGGUCACACUGACACUGAAUAACGGGUCAGACUCCUACGGGAGGCAGCAGUCGGGAAUUUUGGGCAAUGGGCGAAAGCCUGACCCA
rnacentral:rRNA from 1 species